AACGCACAUUGCGCCCUUUGGUAUUCCAAGGGGCACGCCUGUUCGAGCGUCAUUUAAACCAUCAAGCUCUGCUUGGUCUUGGACGCGGUCGAGUGACCCGUCCGUAACCCGUUGGCGGUGCAGUCCGGCUUUAAGCGUAGCAAGAAUUUCGCUUUAGGAGCUCGUGGCGGCGUCUGCCAGGAAACAUCACCCAAAGUUUGACCUCGGAUCAGGUGAGGAUACCCGCUGAACUUAA
rnacentral:misc_RNA from 1 species